rnacentral:rRNA from 1 species
CCUACGGGAGGCAGCAGUGAGGAAUAUUGGUCAAUGGGCGGAAGCCUGAACCAGCCAAGUAGCGUGCAGGAUGACUGCCCUAUGGGUUGUAAACUUCUUUUAUAUGGGAAUAAAAUGUUCCACGUGUGGGAUUUUGUAUGUACCAUAUGAAUAAGGAUCGGCUAACUCCGUGCCAGCAGCCGCGGUAAUACGGAGGAUCCGAGCGUUAUCCGGAUUUAUUGGGUUUAAAGGGAGCGUAGGUGGAUUGUUAAGUCAGUUGUGAAAGUUUGCGGCUCAACCGUAAGAUUGCAGUUGAAACUGGCAGUCUUGAGUACAGUAGAGGUGGGCGGAAUUCGUGGUGUAGCGGUGAAAUGCUUAGAUAUCACGAAGAACUCCGAUUGCGAAGGCAGCUCACUGGACUGCAACUGACACUGAGGCUCGAAAGUGUGGGUAUCAAACAGGAUUAGAUACCCCUGUAGUC